ACCUGUGUGGCUCAGUCAGUUGAGCAUCUGACUUCAGGUCAGGUCGUAAUCUCUCAGCUUGUGGGUUCGAGCCCCAUGUCAGGCU
rnacentral:tRNA from 1 species